GCCGCUUUAGCUCAGUUGGUAGAGCACGUCAUUCGUAAUGAUGGGGUCAGGUGUUCGAGUCACCUAAGCGGCACCA
rnacentral:tRNA from 1 species